ensembl:snRNA U1 U1 spliceosomal RNA
AUACUUACCUGGCAGAGGAAACACCAUGAUCAGGAAGGUGGUUUUCCCAGGGUGCGGCUCAUCCAUUGCACUUGGGAUGUGCUGACUCCUGCGAUUUCCCUAAAUGGGGGAAACUCGACUGAGUAAUUUGUGGUACUGGGGGACUGCGUUCGCGCUCUCCCCCU